rnacentral:lncRNA from 11 species
AUCUCUUUAAGCUUUGUCCAGCCCUCCAGCAAACAGUUCCUCCAGUUAUUAAAUACACAGAAACCUGCUAAGGCAAAGUAUCGGUUACUUGGAGUAGCUACCAGUAAGUUCAACCACCUCUGCCUUCUUCGAUCCUUGGCCACAGCUGCUGUAUCUGUGUAACUGGACAUAAACUGAUACAGCUAACAUGUACACACAAGAGAAACAUCUCAUUGCACCAAUGUGACUUUGUAAUGGAGGUCCCAUGUGUCUUUCCAAACUGAAAUCAGGUUAUUUGCUACUAAAGGCUAUAUAUAUAUAUAUAUCUGCAAACCACCAUGACUACUCAUGAAGCAAGACAUGCUGCUACCUCUGAAUGGACCAAAAUGCCCACAAUAGCCACUAAAGAAGCAGACAACAACACUGCCUUGAAUAACACAAGUACCAACUGGAAUAUAUAUACCGCAACUGCAAACACUACCAAUGUUUCCUCAAUGUUAUCUUAUUUAUCACAAAGCACUCGCUCUCCUAGUACAGAAAGUAACAGUUCAUCAGAUAUCAUUGCCGAAACCAAAAAGGUGACAACAUUUCCUGCUGAAUCAUUCUUUAGUAAUUCUGUGUAUCAAUCCACUGUAGAAGAUCCCAAAACAACAACUUCAGCUAUAACAUCGAAUUUGAUAGUCCAAGUUUCAACAAGUAUGCCAUUAAUCAGUAGCAAGUUUCUGGCUUCAGUUUCAUCAAAUCAGUUUCAAGCAGGAGGUGGUCGUUUGAAGAAUUCAGAAGCCAUCUUAACUAUCAGUUUUGCCAUUCUUCUUGCACUAACAAUCCUAGGAUCCACUGUGUAUAUUUUCAAUAAAUUUAGAAAGAGAAGAGAUCAAUAUUCCCACCAUCCACUUUAUGAUACUUCUUCUGAAACAGAAAGAUAUACAACUCAAGAAGAUGUACUGGUUAUAUCAGGAGGGUUGUAUGAUGCACCAAGAAUAUAUAAUCCCAACAUGAUGUAUGAAGAUGAUGAACUUUCAAAUGAUCAUUUACCAUUUAGUGCUCAACCAGGACAACUCAAAUUGGAAUUUCUGUCAGGAGAAAAAGAACAGAACAUUUUCCCAGCUUAUGAAACAUUUCAGAAAACACCAGGAGAUUUAUAAUGGAUGGGACACAGAUCCUUCAAAGUAGCAAAAUUAAUCCACUGUGAAAUUCAGUUUGAAUAAAAGCAGAAAUUAGAACUCACAAAGACGUUUAUUAAAACAAAGAACCAUUUACAAGUUAUACAGGAAUAGUUAACAAUUCUUUGCAACUUGACUGCUUCAUGCACAAUAUUUUACUGGAUCCAGAUUUAUUCAUACACAGAGUAGACCCACAGAAACACACAGGGCCAAUUUAAUGAUUUUUAUCAGCUAAGUUAGAUCUCCUUGCUAUUGUGAAUAUUUUACUUUGCUGUAAUAAUUAUUGGUAUGUUAUUGUAAUAAUAAAGUCUGAAUAAAAAUGAUUCAAUGACUCUAAUGAUGAAUAUUUCUGGUCUCAGUCUAUUGUGCUUAAAUAAGUAACAUAAAACUUUAAUAAAAUUGUAUUUUUGCUAACUCUAAAAAACCUUGUCAGGUUUUACCUGUUUUAUUAAUAUAUGUUGCAACUGAUCAUGUGGUGAGAAAACUGACAUAGAUUUCACUGGAAUCCUGUUUCCUUAUUCCUCCAAUGCUGGUGCCCAGCGGGCUACACACUGUUUCAACUAUAGUCCUAUGUAAACCUUUAUAGGCAUUUUUUUUUUCUUUCCAGGGCCUAGUGCAGAAGAGACUACUGUGCUAAAACAGGCAGGAAGGAAGUGGGAGGAAAGAGGGCUUUAUUGAACCUGACCUUUCCCCACCACAUAUACAGCUGUACCUGCAGCGGAUGGAUCAGGCCAUAAAAUCUUUUUUACAUCUGAAUUACUUAAGGAUUCAAUACUUUAAGUCUUUUCAAGUUAAUUAGAAUGUGAUAAUGUGAAAUAAAUUAUUGUAAUAACAUAUAACAAAGGUGAUGUUGAAUUUAAAUAAAAUAAUAAGAAAACGUAUUAGUUACAUGAGUACAUUUUUAGUUUAUGAAAAAAGCUUUUCAGCUUCUUUCAUUUUGUUUUUUCUGUCCAUUUUGGAGAUUGCAGACCAUCCAGACUCUCGCAUCUUUUUUAUAGCAGCAAGCUUCACUAAGGAUCCAGGGGUUUUGAGGCUAGAUGGAGUUUGAACCUAUAUACAAAAAAAGGAAGCUUUAGUUCAUUUUGUUAAGACCAUUGAGAUUCAUAGCAUCCAGAAAAUCUAAGAAGAUACCUUUUCUGGUGUCAUAGUAUUUGGUGUCCUGACAUGAGAUUCAGAUGGAUAAUCUUUAUACAGUUGUUUAAACUUAUCUUCUUUUGACACAAGACUCUGGAAAAAAAAUUUAAAUUAGUAAAGUCCACAGAGAC